AUUGAACGCUGGCGGCACGCCUAACCCUUGCAAGUCGAGCGGCAGCAUGCUUAGUAGCAAUACUAAGUGAUGGCGAGCGGCGGACGGGUGAGGAACACGUAGGAACCUGCCCAAAAGUGGGGGAUAACUAAGGAAAACUUUACCUAAUACCGCAUAAUUCUCUGAGGAGAAAAGUUGCCCGUAAGGGUAGCGCUUUUGGAGGGGCCUGCGUCCGAUUAGUUAGUUGGUGAGGUAAAAGCUCACCAAGACAAUGAUCGGUAACUGGUCUGAGAGGACAACCAGUCACACUGGGACUGAAACACGGCCCAAACUCCUACGGGAGGCAGCAGUGGGGAAUCUUGGACAAUGGGGGCAACCCUGAUCCAGCGAUGCCGCGUGGGUGAAAAAGGCCUUCGGGUUGUAAAGCCCUUUAGGCUGGAAAGAAGAAUGCGGGAUGAAUAAUCCUGUAUUUUGACGGUACCAGCAAAAUAAGCACCGGCAAACUCUGUG
rnacentral:rRNA from 1 species